AUAUUGGAUCCGCCUGGCUCCCUGCAUGCCACUUGCGAAUCUUGCCAAACGUUUUGUCGGGGUUCAUGGCUGGCGUGUGGGGGGUCAGACAGGCCAUACA
rnacentral:pre_miRNA from 1 species